rnacentral:rRNA from 1 species
AAGUUAAAGAAAGAUUAUGAUCAUGACCUCAUUGUUUCUCGUGUGCUAAAUUCCGAGAAGGCCAAACUCGGGGUUGAUCUUGCUAGACUCAAAGAGGAGUUUGAUAUACUUGACAAGGCCCACAAGGCCUUGAAGGGUAUUCACGCUAGUCUCAAGGAGUCUCAUGAUCAACUCCAAGUGAAGCUAACUAAGGAGAAAGCAACUUUUCCUCAUAUGGUUUUAAUUGAUAAUGCAAAUGCUACUAACCCGUGUUGUGAGAAUAUACAUCUUGUUGAGGAAAAUGCUAAGUUGAAGGAGCAACUUGAGAGGGGUCUUGCGACUUGCAUACAAGGCAAGAAGAACCUCAACGAUCUCUUGAUCAACCAAAAG